rnacentral:rRNA from 1 species
AGAGUUUGAUCCUGGCUCAGAACGAACGCUGGCGGCGUGGAUUAGGCAUGCAAGUCGCACACGAAAGUCCCCUUCGGGGGGCAAGUAGAGUGGCGGACGGGUGAGGAAUGCAUGGGCAACGUACCUUGAGCACGGGGAUAGCCCGGGGAAACCCGGGGUAAUACCCGAUGAGACCACAGCGUCACAUGGCGCAGCGGUCAAAGGCUGGGGAUCCCUUCGGGGACCUGGUGGCUUUAGAGCGGCCCAUGUCCUAUCAGCUUGUUGGCGGGGUAACGGCCCACCAAGGCUACGACGGGUACCGGGACUGAGAGGUUGGCCCGGCACAUUGGGACUGAGACACUGCCCAAACUCCUACGGGAGGCUGCAGUCGAGAAUCUUCCACAAUGAGCGCAAGCUUGAUGGAGCGACGCCGCGUGUGGGAAUAAGCUCUUCGGGGUGUAAACCACUGUCAAGGGCCACCAAGCGAAGGGGGUGAAUACCCCCCUGAGCUGAGGAACCCUAAAGGAAGCCACGGCUAACUUCGUGCCAGCAGCCGCGGUAAGACGAAGGUGGCUAGCGUUGUUCGGAAUCACUGGGCUUAAAGAGCACGUAGGCGGCCUGCCAAGUGUCUUGUGAAAUCCCUCGGCUCAACCGAGGAAUGGCUGGGCAAACUGGCAGGCUUGAGGCAGGUAGGGGCGUGUGGAACUCUUGGUGGAGCGGUGGAAUGCGUAGAUAUCAAGAGGAACGCCAGAGGCGAAAGCGAUGCGCUGGGCCUGUCCUGACGCUGAGGUGCGAAAGCCAGGGGAGCAAACGGGAUUAGAUACCCCGGUAGUCCUGGCUGUAAACGAUGUCCACUAGGUCGGAGGUUCUCUGACGGAGUUCCGGCCACAACUAAAGCGAUAAGUGGACCGCCUGGGGAGUACGGUCGCAAGGCUAAAACUCAAAGGAAUUGACGGGGGCUCACACAAGCGGUGGAGCAUGUUGCUUAAUUCGAUUCAACGCGAAGAACCUUAUCCUGGGCUUGACAUGUACGGAUGCCUACUGGGAAACCAGGUCGGUUGCCUUUCGGGGUGAAACGUACACAGGUGCUGCAUGGCUGUCGUCAGCUCGUGUCGUGAGAUGUUGGGUUAAGUCCCAUAACGAGCGAAACCCUUGUCGCUAGUCGCCAGCGAGUAACGUCGGGGACUCUAGCGAGACUGCCGGUGUUAAACCGGAGGAAGGUGGGGAUGACGUCAAGUCCUCAUGGCCUUUAUGCCCAGGGCCGCAAACGUGCUACAAUGGCUGGUACAAACCGACGCAAGACCGCGAGGUGGAGCAAACCGAGAAAAACCAGCCCCAGUUCGGAUUGGAGUCUGCAACUCGACUCCAUGAAGUUGGAAUCGCUAGUAAUCGCGUAUCAGCGUGACGCGGUGAAUGUGUUCCUGAGCCUUGUACACACCGCCCGUCAAGUCAUGGAAGCCGGUAGCACCCGAAGUCGUCCCGAUACUGGGAUGCCGAAGGUGAGAUCGGUGACUGGGACUAAGUCGUAACAAGGUA